AGUGAUCAUAGGAGUGUGUGUACAAGGAUCUUCACAAACUACUGCUGACACAUCAAUCUGUUGGAAAUGAAACUGACAAUACAAGGAAAAUAUACUGAAUAUUAUAACAAAAGAAAGCGACCUACGGCUAAAAGAGUGCUAUAGGAUAGCUGGUACCAAAUAGUGAAAAUGUUCGUUACAUGUUUGUGAACACCAGGAUAAUGACCGCAGAUAUGGAUCCUAGGCCGGAAAAAUUACAGCACGAUGUCAUCUUGAAGUUUAGA